rnacentral:rRNA from 1 species
CCUACGGGCGGCAGCAGUGGGGGAUAUUGCACAAUGGGGGAAACCCUGAUGCAGCGACGCCGCGUGAGUGAAGAAGUAUUUCGGUAUGUAAAGCUCUAUCAGCAGGGAAGAAAAUGACAGUACCUGACCAAGAAGCCCCGGCUAACUACGUGCCAGCAGCCGCGGUAAUACGUAGGGGGCAAGCGUUAUCCGGAUUUACUGGGUGUAAAGGGAGCGUAGACGGUUAUGUAAGUCUGGAGUGAAAGCCCGGGGCCCAACCCCGGGACUGCUUUGGAAACUGUGUAACUGGAGUGCAGGAGGGGCAGGCGGAAUUCCUGGUGUAGCGGUGAAAUGCGUAGAUAUCAGGAGGAACACCGGCGGCGAAGGCGGCCUGCUGGACUGAAACCGACGUUGAGGCUCGAAAGCGUGGGGAGCAAACAGGAUCAGAUACCCGAGUAGUC